CNUUUAAAGGANUUCGGUCCUUGGCAGACGGCUCAGUAACACGUGGAGAACCUGCCCUCAGGAGGGGGAUAACCCCGGGAAACUGGGAAUAAUACCCCAUAGGUCUAGAAUGCUGGAAUGCUUCUAGGCUCAAAGCUCCGGCGCCUGAGGAUGGCUCUGCGGCUUAUCAGGUUGUAGUGAGAGUAACGUCCUCACUAGCCUAUGACGGGUACGGGCCCUGAGAGGGGAUGCCCGGAGAUGGACUCUGAGACACGAGUCCAGGCCCUACGGGGCGCAGCAGGCGCGAAAACUCCGCAAUGCUCGAAAGAGUGACGGGGGGAUUCCAAGUGCCUACGCUUAGCGUAGGCUGUUCAGAUGCCUAAAAAGCAUCUGGAGUAAGGGCUGGGUAAGACGGGUGCCAUCUGUGGCAGCAGCCGAAGAUUUGGUUUGCUACUGCAAGGCAUAAGCCGCCGCGGUAAUACCCGCAGCCCGAGUGGUAGUCGAUUUUAUUGGGCCUAAGCGUCCGUAUCCGGUCUGAUAAUGCUUGGGUAAUCGUCU
rnacentral:rRNA from 1 species